rnacentral:rRNA from 1 species
CCCUUAGAUGUCCUGGGCCGCACGCGCGUUACACUGAUGCAUUCAACGAGCCUAUAACCUUGGCCGAGAGGCCUGGGCAAUCUUGUUAACGUGCAUCGUGAUAGGGAUAGAUUAUUGAAAUUAUUAAUCUUGAACGAGGAAUUCCUAGUAAACGCAGAUCAUCAAUCUGCAUUGAUUACGUCCCUGCCCUUUGUACACACCACCCGUCGCACCUACCGAUUGGAUGGUCCGGUGAAGCCUCGGGAUUGUGGUUCUUGCCGCUUUAUUGUGGCGUGACCGCGAGAACUUGUCUAAACCUUAUCAUCUAGAGGAAGGUGAAGUCGUAACA